UACGAAGGGGGCUAGCGUUGUUCGGAAUUACUGGGCGUAAAGCGCACGUAGGCGGACUAUUAAGUCAGGGGGUGAAAUCCCGGGGCUCAACCCCGGAACUGCCUUUGAUACUGGUAGUCUCGAGUCCGAGAGAGGUGAGUGGAAUUCCGAGUGUAGAGGUGAAAUUCGUAGAUAUUCGGAGGAACACCAGUGGCGAAGGCGGCUCACUGGCUCGGUACUGACGCUGAGGUGCGAAAGCGUGGGGA
rnacentral:rRNA from 1 species